rnacentral:rRNA from 1 species
UACGAACCGUGCGAACGUUGUUCGGAAUCACUGGGCUUAAAGGGCGCGUAGGCGGGCUGACAAGUCUGGGGUGAAAUGCCGCGGCUCAACCGUGGAACUGCCUUAGAUACUGUCGGCCUCGAGGAAGGUAGGGGCAUGCGGAACUGUAGGUGGAGCGGUGAAAUGCGUUGAUAUCUACAGGAACUCCGGUGGCGAAAGCGGCGUGCUGGACCUUUUCUGACGCUGAGACGCGAAAGCUAGGGGAGCAAACGGG